GAAGAAUUAGAGAAAGAAUGGCGAAAGUGAUUGUUGUUUCCGUAGGUUUACCAUUGAUAGCAGUGAUUCUGAUCUCCAUGUUCAUGGCUGCUAUAACUUGUUUGAAGGAAGAAGAGCGUUCGAUAUAUUUGGUCUUAAUGGAAGGAGAUGCACUUGCUUUUACUCAACAACCUUCCAUUCAACAACAUUCAUCAACAAUGCAAUCCAACAGGGAAGCUUCAAAGACACAUGCAAAGCACUUAAUAUCAUCAUCUCACGAUCUAUUUCUGCAAACAACGUUAGAUACAGGAAGCUACAACAAACUCCACAGUUAUAAACACAUCAUCAAUGGUUUUUCUGUCCACACAACCCCUUCCCAGGCUGAAAGACUAAGAAGUAAGCCGGGAGUUAAGUUGGUAGAGAAAGACAGAGGAGUGAAAAAGAUGACAACAUACACACCUGAAUUUCUAAGUUUACCAAAUGGAAUAUGGGCGCAGGAAGGAGGAGAAACAAAUGCAGGUGAAGGAGUUGUGAUUGGUUUUGUGGAUAGUGGCAUCAACCCUUUUCAUCCCAGCUUUGCUUACGAUCCCAUGCUACCUUUCAAAUCAAACCUCUCUCGUUUUGAGGGUGCCUGCAUGAUGGGUCCUCUCUUCCCUCCUACUUCCUGCAAUGGAAAGAUAGUAGCCGCCAGGUAUUUCUCUGCUGGGGCUGAAGCUGCUGCUACACUCGAUCCUUCCAAGGAUUUUCUUUCACCC
rnacentral:sRNA from 1 species